UGUCUCCUCCUUUGGACUCUAUCCCCAGGUUACCGAUAAGUAGAACUAACCAUAAGCACAGACACACAUGUGCGCGCGUGCACACACACACAUACACACACAAGUUCAAGCCAAAGCCUCCCUCUUGCUCACAUUUAUCUCUCUACCAUAUGGCACAGUUCUUGUCACAUAGAAGAUGCCUGGUAAAUGUAGAUCCCCCACGAAAAUGGAAGCUCCAUAAGAACAGGGAUUUCCACUCCCCUGCUUUUGCACACUUCUCUAUUCUAGUGUGUAAAACAGCACAAGGUAAUUGGCAGGAGCUGAAUAAAUAACUGUUGGAUAUAUGGAUAACAUAUGAGUGAUAAAUGAAUGAGAAAAGAAAGAAAGGCAGAAGGAAGGCAGGAAAUCACAUUUGAGGUGGAGGAAAGGAUACUAGAUGGUAUUUCAUGGUAAUGUUGGGUGUCACCAGCAUCUGCCAUCCUUUCUAGGCAUCCAUGAAAGUGUCUGUGAAAGGUAAAUGGCUUCGGAUAUGUCCUCCCCAGAUGGCUGUCUCAGUUGCCAGAGGCCAGACAUUGGCAAGAAUCAAGGCUGGCUAAUCACUCACUGUCCAGGUUAAGGAUUACUAUUCCCAAGUGGAUCCUCCCAGACCCAAGACAAGGAAACUAAGACUCAGGAGCAAGACUCUCAAAUCCAAGGCCAGAACCCAAGCAUCCUGACCCCUAAUUAUCACAAGCACCGACUGGGCCAAGUUCCGAGGUAUCUCGAUCCCAAAGAAACAGGAGCUUGUGUUAAUAGAGAUACUCAGAGUUCCUCUUCAGAUUCCACCUUCAGGGGCUGGCCCCGUGGCCAAGUGGUUAAGUUUGCGAGCUCCACUGCGGGCGGCCCGGUGUUUCGUUGGUUCAAAUCCUGGGCGCGGACAUGGCAGUGCUCAUCAAGCCACGCUGAGGCAGCGUCCCACAUGCCACAACUAGAAGGACCCACAACGAAGACUAUACAACUAUGUACCAGGGGGCUUUGGGGAGAAAAAGGAAAAAAUAAAAUCUUUAAAAAAAAAAGAUUCCACAUUCAUUUUGUCUUAUCUAUAUCACAUUGCUGACUUCCUCUAAACUAACUACACGAAAUUCUCUGGUUAUUAUAGAAAGGAAGGGGUUACGGAGGGGAAAGGAA
rnacentral:lncRNA from 1 species